rnacentral:rRNA from 1 species
UACGUAGGGUGCGAGCGUUAAUCGGAAUUACUGGGCGUAAAGCGUGCGCAGGCGGUGACCCAGUCAGAUGUGAAAUCCCGGCGUACUACGGACGUAGCAUUGUAACUACGGUCGGCUAGAGUAUGGCGACGAGGGGGGUAGGAAUUACCACGUGUAGCAGUGAAUAGCGUAGAGAUGUGGAGGAAUACCGAUGGCGAAGGCAGCCCCUCGGGUCGAUACUG